rnacentral:lncRNA from 1 species
GUGCAUUCCAUGUCUCAUAUGAUUUGUUAUUUGAUUGGCAUGGCAAAUCUAUUAGAUUAGUCUCAUUGUUUCCAUUCGACAGAUGAGGAGACUGAGUCCGAGAGGUUAAGUAACAGCCUAAGAGGAUCUGGAGUUCAGAGUGUGGAGUGAGUUUAAGGCCAGCCUGGGGGGACCUCCAGAGAGACAUUAUCUCAAAAAAUAAAAGGAGCAUUAAUUAGAGGUAUCCCGCUGUGGUAGAGCUCUUGCCUAUUAUACCCCCCAUCUCCCCCCAAAAAUUGAGUCGAGGGAAGUACAGCAAGCAAAGAAUAAACAAGGGAGCAGUCACAAGGAAAAGAGAGAGAACAGCUUUCCCUCUGACCCCCACAGCCAGCCCUGCGGUCGGUUCGGUCACCUUGUAGCCAUCUGCCGCUGCCUCAUAGCUGGCUCCCCAGCCAUGGGCUGCUCUCCUCCCACCUCCCUCAAUAGAGUGCUACUCUCAGGACCAACCAGGAAUGAGGCACACAGACAUCUGCAGAAGACACAAGGCUUGGCUCAUUAUCUGCAAUGUCUGAGCCCAGUAAUCAGAAAGUACUCAGUCCUUUCUCGAAGAGACGCGGAUGUCAUUCAACGCCUGGUAUGGCCAGAAAGCUUAAUUUGGUAAAUCACAGAUGCAGAGAGAAAGAGAAAUCGGAAGAAAAUGGUUCUGGCUCCUGAACGUUGCAAUGAUUUAAGAUGUCCGUCGCAGUGAGAGCUGAGGAUCUACACCCUUUUCCCCUAAAGAUUUCCAACCUUGACUUGAAUGCAUCUCCAGGGCUCUAUCUUGCUGACACUGACAUUUGUACUGGCCUUGCCUCUCUAGUUUCCUUGUAUUUAUCAAGACACUAAGUUUCUCACUGUUUUAAAAUGGACUUUCAUUGGGACUUCAUAAUGAAGGGUUCAAAACCAAC